rnacentral:rRNA from 1 species
AGAGUUUGAUCAUGGCUCAGAACGAACGCUGGCGGCGCGCCUAAUACAUGCAAGUCGAGCGAGAAGGUGUAGCAAUACACUUGUAAAGCGGCGAACGGGUGAGGAAUGCAUGGGUAACCUACCCUCGAGUGGGGAAUAGCUAGCCGAAAGGUUAGCUAAUACCGCAUACGUUUCCGGAACUUCGGUUUCGGAAAGAAAGCAAUACCGUGGGUAUUGCGCUCCUGGAUGGGCUCAUGUCCUAUCAGCUUGUUGGUGAGGUAACGGCUCACCAAGGCUUCGACGGGUAGCUGGUCUGAGAGGACGAUCAGCCACACUGGCACUGCGACACGGGCCAGACUCCUACGGGAGGCAGCAGUAAGGAAUAUUGCGCAAUGGACGAAAGUCUGACGCAGCGACGCCGCGUGGGGGAUGAAGGUCUUCGGAUUGUAAACCCCUUUCGGGAGGGAAGAUGGAGUGGGUAACCACUUGGACGGUACCUCCAGAAGCAGCCACGGCUAACUUCGUG